rnacentral:lncRNA from 1 species
CACUUCUAAUUUAGUGUUUUUAUUUUUUAACAAAUACCAUUCUUAAAAAAUAUUAGUGUUAUUUUUGUGAUAAAAAUCGAAAAUGGUAUUUAUUAGAUAUGCUCACGUUUUACUUGGUUUGUGUAUUUUUCACUUAAAAAGUUUUUGAUUUUUUAUUAAAGUAGUACACAAUGUAGGAUACAAAGCUAACGAGUCAUGAUGACUCUUAGAAGCUAAGCCGGCAUGAAACAACCUUCCUCCGAAAACUAAACUAGCAGGAAACAACCUUCCUACCAAUAACUGCACAUCAACCAGUCAAACUUUAUUUAUGAAGCAAACACACCUCAUCAUAUUUCUUUGAAUAUCUCACUUCAACGAGCCAAGAGGAACAAACGCAAACAAGCAAACCCAAAGAGAUGAAAGACACCUUUUAAUUUUCAACCUCCCACGACAUGAUGCAGAGAGCCGAAGCCCAGCCCGAGAACCUUUGCAUGAAAUAGAAGAUAAACCACAAACCAGGCUCUAUCCUGUGGCAGACUAAAACAAGGAAAAGCACACCACCCACCCUCGGGAAAACCACCACAAGAGGAAACAACAAACAUACAAUCAGAUCUAGAAGAGGAACCAUUGGCGCAAGCAACAUGGCCUUGAACUGGGAUCAAAAACAAGGGCACCAAAGAGAACCGAUCGAAUCUCGAGAAUAAGAAACCACGUCGGAGAAGAAGGAUCCACGACAGACAGGCCACCGAUUGACCCCCCCCNN